GACGAACGCUGGCGGCGUGCUUAACACAUGCAAGUCGAACGGAAAGGCCCUGCUUUUGUGGGGUGCUCGAGUGGCGAACGGGUGAGUAACACGUGAGUAACCUGCCCUUGACUUUGGGAUAACUUCAGGAAACUGGGGCUAAUACCGGAUAGGAGCUCCUGCUGCAUGGUGGGGGUUGGAAAGUUUCGGCGGUUGGGGAUGGACUCGCGGCUUAUCAGCUUGUUGGUGGGGUAGUGGCUUACCAAGGCUUUGACGGGUAGCCGGCCUGAGAGGGUGACCGGCCACAUUGGGACUGAGAGACGUCCCAGACUCCUACGGGAGGCAGCAGUGGGGAAUAUUGCACAAUGGGCGGAAGCCUGAUGCAGCAGCGCCGCGUGCGGGAUGACGGCCUUCGGGUUGUAAACCGCUUUCGCCUGUGACGAAGCGUGAGUGACGGUAAUGGGUAAAGAAGCACCGGCUAACUACGUG
rnacentral:rRNA from 1 species